rnacentral:rRNA from 1 species
UACGUAGGGGGCAAGCGUUGUCCGGAAUUAUUGGGCGUAAAGAGCGUGUAGGCGGUCCGGUAAGUCAGCUGUGAAAGUCAAGGGCUCAACCCUUGAAUGCCGGUUGAUACUGUCGGGCUAGAGUCCGGAAGAGGCGAGUGGAAUUCCCGGUGUAGCGGUGAAAUGCGCAGAUAUCGGGAGGAACACCUAUGGCGAAGGCAGCUCGCUGGGACGUUACUGACGCUGAGACGCGAAAGCGUGGGGAGCAAACAGG